rnacentral:lncRNA from 1 species
GCACGCCGUGUUUUGCUCAAAAAUUAAACGUAUUUACGGCGUGCAAACGCACGCAGUAGUAAUCUGUCCUAAAAAACCUAAUUAAACACGACAUUUUUCUCCCAUUCAUAACUUCUCCUCCUUCUCUCAAUUCACUGUGCCUCCUACCGUUCUUUUUCCCCAUCAACCCAGUGCUUCUUGUGCAGCCACUAGUCCACCACAACCACCAUCCUUGACUCCGCCUCUCCACGACUUUGCCCGGCGCCUCAACUCUCACUCUCCGCCUUUCACUGUCAACCACGGGCGCCAGCUCUCACCCUUGUCGGUCGCCUCCCAGGACCCAAAUCAAAAUAUUUCUAUAAGGUAAGGAUUCUUCAAAUUAAUACCUGCCUCUUUCUUGAUAGGGGUCUAGUUUCUAGAAGGAAUUGUAUGAUUUAAGCUAUUGAAUGAGUUAGCAUGAAUCAGAUUAAUACCUAAAAUCAAGUUAUUGUUUGGCUAUUUCCUGAUUCGUUAUGUCAUUCGACUUGAUAAUGAAAUUAAUUUUCUUAUUAUUGCAUUUUUCUAUAUGGAGUUUGAAAUAUUUUCCUUUGUUGAUGAAAUUUUUUAUUUUGAGUGUUUUUUAGGUUAUAUUUUGGUUGUAAAUGUUGGCUGUGCUGCUUGAUUUUUGAAUGAAUUAAAUUUAGGCAUUUUCAGUUAUAUCUCAUUGUUGUUUGGCAUUUUAUUGAUGUGUAUAUUUAUAAACUCCAGUGAUUAAGUCCCCUUUAUGAUUUUAUUUUUUCUUUACAAUUGUGUUUUUAUUUGCUGGAGAAUAGGAGACAAAAUUAGAUAACUGCUUUCUAUUUUCUAUCUUUUGCUAUUCCUUGUUACGGGAAUUUUUUUAUAGUAGUGCCUUAUGAUGAAACUUUUGAGUAUAUACUUGGGCUGUUGGUAAAGUAGAUAGUGAAGCUCAUUUUCUUCUUACAAUAAGUGAGAUAAAUGUAUUCCAUUUAUAGAUAUUUCACCGACUCUGUAAUGGAUUUUGUUUGUUGAUCCACUGUAUUUAGUGCUAUAUUUUUCAGAUUUGCUGAAUGUUAUCUGCCAAUCGUCACUGGGAAAUAAUGUGUAUGUUUUGAAAGCUGUUUAAGAUGCAUUCUUGCAUGGGCUUCCGACAUAAAACAUAAAAAGAAGCAUGAAUCAUUAAUUAGUUCAUAAAACUAUUGGUAGUUUUUUAUAGUGAAGGAAAAGCAUAUACCAAGUAGAACCUCACCAAUAAUCAGUACAUACUCUGUAAUAAUAAGUUCAUCUCCUUGAUCAAUUCCAUUGGUGGUAGCUGCAGUGAUGUCAAUUCCUUAUUUUAAGAUAAUUGAAAAUCUAUUCUCUGAUACCUAUAUAUAUAUAUAUAUAUAUAUAUAUAUAUAUAUAUAUAUAUAUAUAUAUAUAUAUAUAUAUAUAUAUAUAUAUAGAUCUCUAUGGAGACAAAAGUGAGAUGGGGGAAGAAAAGGGGAACCCCUUCUUUCUAGGGUUAUCCCUCUCACCUAUUGGAGAGAACUUUUUUAUAUACGUUACAGAUUGGUAAUUUGUGAUAAUAUGUGAAUCUGUGAUAAUUUGACAUUAGAAUGAAUUUGCUAUUUGUUUUCCUUUGUAAUUAUAAAUCUUCGUGCUUUGUUGCUUUUAAUUGACAGGACAGGCUUUUAGUUAUAGUUGAAGACAUUGCACAAGAAAAAGCAAGAAAACACAGCCCCAGUGCACUUUGCAUGCCUAUCUAUCUUUGAUCACAUCGCACACUGUUUGUGUGUGGGAGAGGGAAAGAAAUUGCACAGGCAAAAAACAAGAUAAUAAAUGAAGAAAAGCAUAAUCAAACACUCACUCUGGUGAAGUUACAAAAACAACCCAUGUAUUAUCAUCACUUUUUUUGAUUUUUUAACUUUUGAUAUCAUGUGCUUCUUUCUUUAUACCAAAUUAUAAAAAUAUUAACUCAUCAUUUCACUCUGUUGAAUAUCUGUUAAAGUAGUUCCCUUGAUGCUUGACAUCAAAGCACUAUUUAAUCAUUUUCAGAGGGCUCUUGGAGUCAUAAGAUAAAGCCAUUGGGUUUUUAGAUAGCUCUCUCAGAUUUCUCAUUGGUUUGUUUUUGUGCUUUUUCUAGGGCAUCAUGAAAUUCCAUUAAAAUGGGUAGAUUAAAUUCCUAGGACUUAGAUUUUGAGCUAGUUGUAUUAAAUUUAAUGAAUUAUGUUUUCCAUUUACCCUUCCCUUGUACCAAUUGUGGUAUAUGGGAUUUCUAAUUUUUGAAGAUCUGCAUUAGUGGUCAUAAAGAUUUUUUUUUUUUUUCUUUUUCUUCAAGUGUUUGUGGAGAGAUUCUACUGUAAUGGAAUUUAGUCCAGUACCUUAUGUUUGCUUCUGGGAUCUGAAUUUCAAUCUGAUAAGUAAUUUUUUCUCCAUAGAUCUUUCAGUCAAUUGCUAAGUUUCUGUAGAUGGCCGAGGUUCAAAAUCAAAAUUAGACCUUUGUUUUCCUUAUCUUGAUUUCACAAUUCAUUAGGCAAAUAAUAUUACAAUUCAAGUCCUCCUAGCAUUCUUGCUUCUGUGGGUCUAACACUUUUAACUGGCCAUUGAUUGCCAUUGAGUGAAACUUGAUCAUUGACAUCUGAUGAAAUUUCAGGUACAGGCAGCUUACAAAUGAGCGUUGCUGAAGUCUCAUCCAGAUCAAGCUCCGCACUCAUGUGGUUGGAAAGCAUUCUUUUGUUUGUAAAGUAACUUAUUAGUGUUGGUUGAACUUAUGUCUGUUGGUUGAGAAGCCGUCAGUUAUCAAUCAGGCAUGUCAUUUGUUGAACUUAUGUCUGUCGGUUGAGGAAAUUGAAAGUAUUUGUUACAUUUAUUGAUACAUUUUAUUUAUAUAUGAUAAAUGUUUGUGUUAAUUUUUUCAUCUUUAA